rnacentral:rRNA from 1 species
GGGAAUCUGCCCUUGGGUUCGGAAUAACAGCGGGAAACUGCUGCUAAUACCGGAUGAAGACGAAAGUCCAAAGAUUUAUCGCCUGAGGAUGAGCCCGCGUUGGAUUAGGUAGUUGGUGGGGUAAAGGCCUACCAAGCCGACGAUCCAUAGCUGGUCUGAGAGGAUGAUCAGCCACACUGGGACUGAGACACGGCCCAGACUCCUACGGGAGGCAGCAGUGGGGAAUAUUGGACAAUGGGCGAAAGCCUGAUCCAGCAAUGCCGCGUGAGUGAUGAAGGCCUUAGGGUUGUAAAGCUCUUUUACCCGGGAUGAUAAUGACAGUACCGGGAGAAUAAGCCCCGGCUAACUCCGUGCCAGCAGCCGCGGUAAUACGGAGGGGGCUAGCGUUGUUCGGAAUUACUGGGCGUAAAGCGCACGUAGGCGGCUUUGUAAGUCAGAGGUGAAAGCCUGGAGCUCAACUCCAGAACUGCCUUUGAGACUGCAUCGCUUGAAUCCAGGAGAGGUGAGUGGAAUUCCGAGU